rnacentral:rRNA from 1 species
GUAGGGAAUAUUGGGCAAUGGAGGCAACUCUGACCCAGCCAUGCCGCGUGCAGGAUGACGGCCCUCUGGGUUGUAAACUGCUUUUAUACGGGAAGAAAAAAUACUACGUGUAGUAUACUGACGGUACCGUAAGAAUAAGGAUCGGCUAACUCCGUGCCAGCAGCCGCGGUAAUACGGAGGAUCCAAGCGUUGUCCGGAUUUAUUGGGUUUAAAGGGUGCGUAGGCGGAUCUUUAAGUCAGUGGUGACAGCCUUCAGCUUAACUGUAGAAUUGCCAUUGAAACUGAAGAUCUUGAAUGUGGUUAAAGUAGGCGGAAUGUAUCAUGUAGCGGUGAAAUGCUUAGAUAUGAUACAGAACACCGAUAGCGAAGGCAGCUUGCUGAACCAUUAUUGACGCUGAGGCACGAAAGCGUGGGGAGCGAACAGGAUUAGAUACCCCGGUAGUCC